AUUGAACGCUGGCGGCAGGCCUAACACAUGCAAGUCGAACGAGUGGCGGACGGGUGAGUAAUGUCUGGGAAACUGACCGAUGGAGGGGGAUAACUACUGGAAACGGUAGCUAAUAACGCAUACCAUCGGAUGUGCCCAGAUGGGAUUAGCUGGUAGGUGAGGUAACGGCUCACCUAGGCGACGAUCCCUAGCUGGUCUGAGAGGAUGAACAGCAACACUGGAACUUAGACACGGUCCAGACUCCUACGGUAGCCAGCAGUGGGGAAUAUUGCACAAUGGGCGCAAUCCUGAUGCAGCCAUGCCGCGUGUAUGAAGAAGGCCUUCGGUUUUUAAAGUACUUUCAGCUGGGAGGCGUUACCCGCAGAAGAAGCACCGGCUAACUCCGUGCCAGCAGCCGCGGUAAUAC
rnacentral:rRNA from 1 species